ACUCAGGUGUUGUUGGGUAGGGGAGCGUUCUGUAAGCCUGCGAAGGUGGCCUGUGAGGGUUGCUGGAGGUAUCAGAAGUGCGAAUGCUGACAUAAGUAACGAUAAAGCGGGUGAAAAGCCCGCUCGCCGGAAGACCAAGGGUUCCUGUCCAACGUUAAUCGGGGCAGGGUGAGUCGACCCCUAAGGCGAGGCCGAAAGGCGUAGUCGAUGGGAAACGGGUUAAUAUUCCCGUACUUGGUGUUACUGCGAAGGGGGGACGGAGAAGGCUAUGUUGGCCGGGCGACGGUUGUCCCGGUUUAAGCGUGUAGGUGUGUGUUCCAGGUAAAUCCGGUUCACUUUAACACUGAGGCGUGAUGACGAGGCACUACGGUGCUGAAGCAACAAAUGCCCUGCUUCCAGGAAAAGCCUCUAAGCAUCAGGUAACAUCAAAUCGUACCCCAAACCGACACAGGUGGUCAGGUAGAGAAUACCAAGGCGCUUGAGAGAACUCGGGUGAAGGAACUAGGCAAAAUGGUGCCGUAACUUCGGGAGAAGGCACGCUGACACGUAGGUGAAGUGAUUUACUCAUGGAGCUGAAGUCAGUCGAAGAUACCAGCUGGCUGCAACUGUUUAUUAAAAACACAGCACUGUGCAAACACGAAAGUGGACGUAUACGGUGUGACGCCUGCCCGGUGCCGGAAGGUUAAUUGAUGGGGUCAGCGCAAGCGAAGCUCCUGAUCGAAGCCCCGGUAAACGGCGGCCGUAACUAUAACGGUCCUAAGGUAGCGAAAUUCCUUGUCGGGUAAGUUCCGACCUGCACGAAUGGCGUAAUGAUGGCCAGGCUGUCUCCACCCGAGACUCAGUGAAAUUGAACUCGCUGUGAAGAUGCAGUGUACCCGCGGCAAGACGGAAAGACCCCGUGAACCUUUACUAUAGCUUGACACUGAACAUUGAGCCUUGAUGUGUAGGAUAGGUGGGAGGCUUUGAAGUGUGGACGCCAGUCUGCAUGGAGCCGACCUUGAAAUACCACCCUUUAAUGUUUGAUGUUCUAACGUGGACCCGUAAUCCGGGUUGCGGACAGUGUCUGGUGGGUAGUUUGACUGGGGCGGUCUCCUCCUAAAGAGUAACGGAGGAGCACGAAGGUUGGCUAAUCCUGGUCGGACAUCAGGAGGUUAGUGCAAUGGCAUAAGCCAGCUUGACUGCGAGCGUGACGGCGCGAGCAGGUGCGAAAGCAGGUCAUAGUGAUCCGGUGGUUCUGAAUGGAAGGGCCAUCGCUCAACGGAUAAAAGGUACUCCGGGGAUAACAGGCUGAUACCGCCCAAGAGUUCAUAUCGACGGCGGUGUUUGGCACCUCGAUGUCGGCUCAUCACAUCCUGGGGCUGAAGUAGGUCCCAAGGGUAUGGCUGUUCGCCAUUUAAAGUGGUACGCGAGCUGGGUUUAGAACGUCGUGAGACAGUUCGGUCCCUAUCUGCCGUGGGCGCUGGAGAACUGAGGGGGGCUGCUCCUAGUACGAGAGGACCGGAGUGGACGCAUCACUGGUGUUCGGGUUGUCAUGCCAAUGGCACUGCCCGGUAGCUAAAUGCGGAAGAGAUAAGUGCUGAAAGCAUCUAAGCACGAAACUUGCCCCGAGAUGAGUUCUCCCUGAGACUUAG
rnacentral:rRNA from 1 species